rnacentral:rRNA from 1 species
UACAGAGGUCCCAAGCGUUGUUCGGAUUCACUGGGCGUAAAGGGUGCGUAGGCGGUCAGCACAAGUCAGUUGUGAAAUCUCCGGGCUUAACUCGGAAAGGUCAACUGAUACUGUGCGACUAGAGUGCAGAAGGGGCAACUGGAAUUCUCGGUGUAGCGGUGAAAUGCGUAGAUAUCGAGAGGAACACCUGCGGCGAAAGGCGGGUUGCUGGGCUGACACUGACGCUGAUGCGCGAAAGCCAGGGGAGCGAACGGG